GUCGAACGCUGGCGGCGUGCCUAACACAUGCAAGUCGAACGAAGUGGCGAACGGGUGAGUAACGCGUAAUCAACCUGCUCUUCAGAGGGGGACAACAGUUGGAAAUGACUGCUCAUACCUCAUGCUGAAGGUGGGGAUUGCGUCUGAUUGGCUAGUUGGAGGGGUAACGGCCCACCAAGGCGAUGAUCAGUAGCCGGUCUGAGAGGAUGAUCAGCCACAUUGGAACUGAGACACGGCCCAGACUCCUACGGGAGGCAGCAGUGGGGAAUCUUCCGCAAUGGGCGAAAGCCUGACGGAGCAACGCCGCGUGAGUGAUGACGGCCUUCGGAUUGUAAAGGACUUUUGUCAGGGAAGCGGUACCUGAAGAAUAAGCACCGGCUAACUACGUGCCAGCAGCCGCGGUAAUAC
rnacentral:rRNA from 1 species